rnacentral:rRNA from 1 species
UACGUAGGGUGCAAGCGUUAAUCGGAAUUACUGGGCGUAAAGCGUGCGCAGGCGGUUGUGCAAGACCGAUGUGAAAUCCCCGGGCUCAACCUGGGAAUGGGCAUUGGUGACUGCACGGCUAGAGUGUGUCAGAGGGGGGUAGAAUUCCACGUGUAGCAGUGAAAUGCGCAGAUAUCAGGAAGAACACCAGCGGCGAAGGCGGCACUCUGGGCCGGUACUGACGCUGAGGAGCGAAAGCGUGGGUAGCAAACAGG